rnacentral:rRNA from 1 species
GAAAGCGAUGCUAAUACCGGAUGACAUCUAAUGAACUUUGGUUCAUAAGAUCAAGGGGGGCCUCUAUAUAUAAGCUUCCGUUUGAAGAUGAGCCCGCGUACCAUUAGCUUGUUGGUAGGGUAAUGGCCUACCAAGGCAACGAUGGUUAGCUGGUCUGAGAGGAUGAUCAGCCACACUGGAACUGACACACGGUCCAGACUCCUACGGGAGGCAGCAGUGAGGAAUUUUGCGCAAUGGGGGAAACCCUGACGCAGCAACGCCGCGUGAGUGAUGAAGGCUUUCGGGUCGUAAAGCUCUGUCAAGUGGGAAGAAAAUGCGAAAUGUCAAUACCAUUUUGCACUGACGGUACCACUGAAGGAAGCACCGGCUAACUCCGUGCCAGCAGCCGCGGUAAUACGGGGGGUGCAAGCGUUAUUCGGAAUUAUUGGGCGUAAAGAGCGCGUAGGCGGUCUCUUAAGUCAGAUGUGAAAGCCCGGGGCUUAACCCCGGAAGUGCAUUUGAAACUAAGGGACUUGAGUAUGGGAGAGGGAAGUGGAAUUCCUGGUGUAGAGGUGAAAUUCGUAGAUAUCAGGAGGAACACCGGUG